UACGUAGGCAGCGAGCGUUGUUCGGAGUUACUGGGCGUAAAGGGCGUGCAGGCGGUUUGUUAAGUGCAGGGUGAAAGCUCCCGGCUCAACUGGGAGAGGUCCUUGCAUACUGGCAAACUCGAGGGAGGCAGAGGAAAGUGGAAUUCCCGGUGUAGUGGUGAUAUGCGUAGAUAUCGGGAGGAACACCUGUGGCGAAGGCGGCUUUCUGGGCCUUACCUGACGCUGAGACGCGAAAGCGUGGGGAGCGAACCGG
rnacentral:rRNA from 1 species